GCCCUCGUUGUCUAAUGGCUAUGACGUCAGACUUCUACCAAGAGGGUACAUCUGGAGGUUGUGGGUUCGAGUCCCACCGGGGGUA